rnacentral:misc_RNA from 1 species
AACCAUUCUCACCUGCGGCUAGACCUGCGGAAGGAUCAUUACAGAGUUGCAAGACUCCCUAAACCAUUGUGAACCUACCUUCUACCGUUGCUUCGGCGGGCGGGCCCAGCGCCCCCCCGGCCCCCCGCGGGCGCCCGCCGGAGGAUACCCAAACUCUUGACAUUAGUGGCCUCUCUGAGUAUUCUUUACUGAAUAAGUCAAAACUUUCAACAACGGAUCU